rnacentral:piRNA from 1 species
CAACUCCGUCGGUCUGUCUAGGG